rnacentral:rRNA from 1 species
UAGAGGAAGUAAAAGUCGUAACAAGGUUUCCGUAGGUGAACCUGCGGAAGGAUCAUUAUUGAAAUAAACCUGAUGAGUUGCUGCUGGUUCUCUAGGGAGCAAUGUGCACACUUGUCAUCUUUGUAUCUUCACCUGUGCAUCUUUUGUAGACCUGACUAUCUCUCUGAAUGCUUAUGGCACUCAGGAUUGAGAAUUGACUUCUUGUCUUUUCUUAUAUGUUAGGUCUAUGUUUCUUCAUAUACCCUAUGUAUGUUUAUAGAAUGUAAUCAAUGGGCCUUUGUGCCUAUAAACCUUUACAACUUUCAGCAACGGAUCUCUUGGCUCUCGCAUCGAUGAAGAACGCAGCGAAAUGCGAUAAGUAAUGUGAAUUGCAGAAUUCAGUGAAUCAUCGAAUCUUUGAACGCACCUUGCGCUCCUUGGUAUUCCGAGGAGCAUGCCUGUUUGAGUGUCAUUAAUAUAUCAACCUUUUUGGGUUGGAUGUGGGUUUGCUGGCCUUUUGAGGUCAGCUCCCCUUAAAUGCAUUAGCGGACAACAUUUUGCCAACUGUUCAUUGGUGUGAUAAUUAUCUACGCUAUUGACAUGAAGCAAAGGUUCAGCUUCUAAUAGUCCAUUGACUUGGACAACUCUUAUUUAUUAAUUUGACCUCAAAUCAGGUAGGACUACCCGCUGAACUUAAGCAUAUCAAUAAGCGGAGGAAAAGAAACUAACAAGGAUUCCCCUAGUAACUGCGAGUGAAGCGGGAAAAGCUCAAAUUUAAAAUCUGGCAGUCUUUGGCUGUCCGAGUUGUAAUCUAGAGAAGCAUUAUCCGUGCUGGACCGUGUACAAGUCUCCUGGAAUGGAGCGUCAUAGAGGGUGAGAAUCCCGUCUUUGACACGGACUGCCAGGGCUUUGUGAUGUGCUCUCAAAGAGUCGAGUUGUUUGGGAAUGCAGCUCAAAAUGGGUGGUAAAUUCCAUCUAAAGCUAAAUAUUGGCGAGAGACCGAUAGCGAACAAGUACCGUGAGGGAAAGAUGAAAAGAACUUUGGAAAGA